GCCUGGGUAGCUUAGUUGGUUAAACAUCUGACUUCCGCUCAGAUCAUGACCUUGGGGUUUGUGGGUUCAAGCCCUGUGUCAGGCU
rnacentral:tRNA from 1 species